GGCGCCUGGAGCUAGAACUAAAGCGGUGAUCGUUAGCGACCUAGGGGCGGAGGGUUUGAAGGGCCCUUGGCAGGUGGAGGUGGUCUCCCAUUUAAGCAGGGGAACGACGCGACCUGCCCCCUUAUUAGGUCGGAAAACCUAGACGUCCAGAGUGUGCGUGAUCAUGCAGCCUGGCUCCUCCUGUGACUAGUUAGAGCUUUAUUAAGAGCUAAAAGACAAGGAUGCUGAUAUUCCAUCCUGGGGACAGCAAAAUAGUAUUUUCCCAGCCCUUAGGAAUCCUUUCUGUUUGUGUAAGGUUUAUUCGCUUGCUCUGAGCUCUCAACUGAAGAAGGGGAGAAUUUGCCUACCGGAAGUUAUUUGGCUAAGGCCCACGUGGAAGCUUAAAAAACAGGAGAGCUGAGUAUCUGCAAGAAUUAAUUUGUGCGAUUCCCUCUGAGUAGAAAAGGAACACAGUGUUAUAAGUUUUGCUGAACGAAUAGAUUUAAGGUGUCCCUUUAGCUAAGAGCAAUGUGGUCUAGUUGUGUGUAGCGAGAAAAAAGGGUGACUUUUUCUCCCAACAAAACUAAAGAAUUUCCAGAAUGGAAUGCUAAGAUGUCUUUCCAGGAGUUCCGAGAUCUUCUGAAGCCCCUUCUAAAUAAGAAUCAUUCUCAGAUCGCACCGUAGAGUUUUGCUCUUUCACCCAGACUGGAGUGAAGUGAUGCAAUCUCGACUCACUGCAACCUCCGCCUCCGGGUUCAAGCGAUUCUCCUGCCUCAGCCUUUCGAGUAGCUGGGAUUACAG